UACGAAGGGGGCUAGCGUUGCUCGGAAUUACUGGGCGUAAAGGGCGCGUAGGCGGACCGUUCAGUCAGGCGUGAAAGCCCCGGGCUCAACCUGGGAAUGGCGCUUGAGACGGAGGGUCUUGAGGGCGGGAGAGGGUGGUGGAAUUCCCAGUGUAGAGGUGAAAUUCGUAGAUAUUGGGAAGAACACCGGUGGCGAAGGCGGCCACCUGGCCCGUUACUGACGCUGAGGCGCGAAAGCGUGGGGAGCAAACAGG
rnacentral:rRNA from 1 species